CAUCAACAUUAUUAGAAACCCUUCUCAAAAGUUUAUGGUAGAAAGUCUCAAUUCAGUCGCUGGGAAAGAAAAGAGGUAGGGCUUCUUUGUUUUGGUAAACCUAAGAGAAACUAAAAGAAGAAAGGAGAACAAGAAGCUUGGCACCGUACUUUGUCUACGUUUUUAUAGUCGAGCUACAACCAGGUAGGUUCUCUAUCACUUGUAGUUGUCUAUAGUUUAAUCUAAUGGAGUUUGAUGAUCUUGACAUAUUUAACAAACUAGUUAUGCAAAUAAUCCUUGGAUUACCGCUCUUUUGUUUCAGACGUUUUAGGACUUUAUCUUUACUUUUUGAUGUAUUCUCGUGUGUACUGUGUAACUUUUCUUCUUUAUGUAUUCUGGUAGUAGAACUUGUGUACUUAAUCUUCUGUGGAUCUAAGUGUGGAUCUAGUUUCAUAUGUUUCUAUAUAGAUUAGUACCUUGUGGAGUAAGAGGAAGGGUUAUCUCGAAGUGUAUCCUUAGGACUAAGAAAAUCCAAACUAGUCCAAGUGAGUGUCCUCUUUUGACCAUGUUCAAGUUAUUGAUGAUAUAUUUAAGGAUAUAGGGAGAAAGGUAGCAGUGGAACCAGAAAAUUGUAGACCAUGUGGUAUUAAACUGAUCACCAUAUGGGUUGAAGUGGAUCUUAAUAAACCACUAAAGAGAGGAGGAUGGUUAUACGCAGCUAGAUCUAACAAAAUGCACUGGGAAAAGUAUCACUUCGUAAAACAGCCGCGUAAAAUUUGUAAGGAAUGCUUUGUGAUAGACCAUAAUCUCUCAACCUGUGAAGAAUUUGCAAAACAGUUAAAAAUUGUGGCCUAUACUCCAGAGGAAUUUUAUCAGUGGUGCCAAAAUUAUGCGGGUGGUCAGGCGCUCAUGCAGCCCUAGCUGAAGAAGAUAGGUGCCUUAAUAAGAAUCGUGCCUUAUAUUCAUCAUGUGAACCAAAUAAUCUACAAGAAGGAGAAGAAUCUAGCAGCAGAAAGAGAUCGAGAGAUAUGUAUCCAGAAUCUGAUGAAUCAGAGAUUAUUGUUUCUCAUCAACCAAAUCUCACCCAUACCAACCCAAUCUUUCAAUCUUCUGAAACUAUGCCUUUGGUUUCUUCUGAGAUGAAUCACCCUGAUUUUAUAAGAUCUACUGCAAAUCAGAUUGUUGAGGAUAAUGUAGAGAUGCGCGACAGAGCUAUUGAUACACAUGUUCUUGGAAAACUCAAUAAUGGAGCACAAGAGGGAUCUGCAAACAUGGUGCUUGCACUGGAGCCAAAGGGUGCAGAAAGUUAACUACAGAGCCAGAACAAGCUGAAGCGGCAGCGUUUCUUGAGGCAGUCACUUGGGCUAAGGAGAAAAGGCUAACAAAAGUAAUUUUUGAAGGAGAUUGUUCAAAUGUCAUCAAUGCUGUGAAUCGGAACUUCUCAGCAGUUAAGUGGACAAACUUAAAUUUUAUUUCAGAUGCAUUAGUUUUUCUUAAACAAUUUAGGUUUUGGUCUUGUGUUUACUCUCAUAGAGACACAAAUAAUGUAGCUGAUGUGAUCAGCAAGUAUGCUAGGACUUCACCAAUCGGUCAAUAGGAUCUAAAUCUUCCACUAUGGUUGAGCAAUGCCAUUCAAAUGGAUCUGAACAACUUGUAAAAAUCCUUUUUAUUAAUGAAUUUCUUUUUCUAUUAAAAAAAAAGAA